rnacentral:rRNA from 1 species
UCGCUAUCUUAACGGAAAUUCCUGUGCAGUACAGAAGGAACCACAGGUACGACCACAUGGCUCAGAUACUAGUUCGAACGGACUUAUGUAUGACUACGUCCGCUGGAUUAUGCCAUGAACGCGCUAAGGUGUUAUCCAAUCCGAGCUGAUAGCGCUUCUCGGUAUACCGCAUUGAGGUGGUUCGUAAGCUAGCGCCUAACAACCCUCCGAGAACCGUCCGUGCCUGUCCAUUGGCACACUGGCGGUCUCGAUCCCCGCCUAUACUACUAGGCCGCAAAAGGGCGGGUUCGCGCUGCACGUGUUAGUACCAUACAUGUUGGGGAACACCGGUGGACGAGCUUGCCGACUGUGGAUAUCACUAGUUUCGACACCUACGACCGCCCGCAAACGACGGGACUACAGGCUGGGAGCUUCAAGUUGUAGAGAUGCGUUCGCAUCGAUCCUCUCAGGCGACCCAUGCUUGGUGGUUA